ACCAUGGCCCUUCCGCCCGGGGCUACACACGGCCUACAAUGGCGCAWACAAARGGAAGCGAYCUCGCGAGAGCAAGCGGACCUCAUAAAGUGCGUCGUAGUCCGGAUUGGAGUCUGCAACUCGACUCCAUGAAGUCGGAAUCGCUAGUAAUCGUGGAUCAGAAUGCCACGGUGAAUACGUUCCCGGGCCUUGUACACACCGCCCGUCACACCAUGGGAGUGGGUUGCAAAAGAAGUAGGUAGCUUAACCUUCGGGAGGGCGCUUACCACUUUGUGAUUCAUGACUGGGGUGAAGUCGUAACAAGGUAACCGUAGGGGAACCUGCGGUUGGAUCACCUCCUUACCUUAAAGAAGC
rnacentral:rRNA from 1 species